UACGUAGGGUGCAAGCGUUUGUCCGGAAUUAUUGGGCGUAAAGAGCUCGUAGGCGGUCUGUCGCGUCUGCUGUGAAAACUCAGGGCUUAACCCUGAGCUUGCAGUGGGUACGGGCAGACUAGAGUGCGGUAGGGGAGACUGGAAUUCCUGGUGUAGCGGUGAAAUGCGCAGAUAUCAGGAGGAACACCGGUGGCGAAGGCGGGUCUCUGGGCCGAUACUGACGCUGGAGGAGCGAAAAGCCGUGGGGGAGCGAACAGG
rnacentral:rRNA from 1 species